rnacentral:rRNA from 1 species
AGAGGGUGCGAGCGUUAAUCGGAGUUACUGGGCGUAAAGGGCGCGUAGGCGGUUGUAUGGGUGUGAUGUGAAAGCCCUGGGCUUAACCUGGGAAGUGCAUCGCAAACUAUAUAACUGGAGUACAAGAGAGGGUGGCGGAAUUUCCGGUGUAGCGGUGAAAUGCGUAGAGAUCGGAAGGAACGUCGAUGGCGAAGGCAGCCACCUGGCUUGAUACUGACGCUGAGGCGCGAAAGCGUGGGGAGCGAACAGGAUUAGAUACCCUGGUAGUCCACGCUGUAAACGAUGAGGACUAGAUGUUGGAAGGGGAACCUUUCAGUAUCGAAGCUAACGCGAUAAGUCUUCCGCCUGGGAAGUACGGCCGCAAGGUUG